UCGGGUCCCACAGGGAUUCGGUGCCGCACUAACGCAUUAAGUAUUCCACCUGGGGAGUACGUUCGCAAGAAUGAAACUCAAAGGAAUUGACGGGGACCCGCACUAGCGGUGGAGCAUGUGGUUUAAUUCGAGGCAACGCGAAGAACCUUACCAAGUCUUGACAUCCUGCUGACCGUUCCUUAGCCGGAACUUUCUUCGGGACAGCAGUGACAGGUGGUGCAUGGUUGUCGUCAGCUCGUGUCGUGAGAUGUUGGGUUAAGUCCCGCAACGAGCGCAACCCUUGUCCUUAGUAGCCAGCGGUUCGGCCGGGCACUCUGGGGAGACUGCCGGAGAUAAUCCGGAGGAAGGUGGGGAUGACGUCAAAUCAUCAUGCCCCUUAUGACUUGGGCUACACACGUGCUACAAUGGUGGUAACAAAGAGAAGCGACCCCGCGAGGGUGAGCAAAGYUYAAAAUAGCCAUCUCAGUUCGGAUUGUAGUCUGCAACUCGACUGCAUGAAGCUGGAAUCGCUAGUAAUCGCAGAUCAGAAUGCUGCGGUGAAUACGUUCCCGGGUCUUGUACACACCGCCCGUCACACCAUGGGAGUCGGAAAUGCCCGAAGUACGUGACUUAACCGUAAGGAGAGAGCGUCCGAAGGUGGAGCCGAUAACUGGGGUGAAGUCGUAACAAGGUAACCCUGCAGCACAAUCGA
rnacentral:rRNA from 1 species